rnacentral:rRNA from 1 species
UACGUAGGGGGCGAGCGUUGUCCGGAAUCAUUGGGCGUAAAGCGCGUGUAGGCGGCUCGAUAAGUCCGGUGUGAAACCUUGGGGCUCAACCCCAAGCCUGCACUGGAUACUGCCGAGCUAGAGUCCGGGAGGGGAGAGCGGAAUUCCUAGUGUAGCGGUGAAAUGCGCAGAUAUCAGGAGGAACACCGAUGGCGAAGGCAGGUCUCUGGGCAUUAACUGACGCUGAGGAGCGAAAGCAUGGGGAGCGAACAGG